AGUAGUCACGAGUUUGAUCCUGGCUCAGAACGAACGCUGGCGGCGCGCCUAACACAUGCAAGUCGAACGAGAAUCCGGGGCAACCCGGUAGUAAAGUGGCAAACGGGUGAGGAAUACAUGGGUAACCUACCCUUGAGAAGGGAAUAACCCGCCGAAAGGUGAGCUAAUACCCUAUACGCUAUCUUUUUUUCGAAAAGGAUAGGAAAGCCGGGUCGAGGACCUGGUACUCAAGGAGGGGCUCAUGUCCUAUCAGCUUGUUGGUGGGGUAACGGCCUACCAAGGCUACGACGGGUAGCUGGUCUGAGAGGAUGAUCAGCCACACUGGCACUGAGAUACGGGCCAGACUCCUACGGGAGGCAGCAGUGAGGAAUAUUGCGCAAUGGGCGAAAGCCUGACGCAGCGACGCCGCGUGGGGGAUGAAGGUUUUCGGAUUGUAAACCCCUUUCAUGAGGAAAGAUAAAGUGGGUAACCACUUAGACGGUACCUCAAGAAGAAGCCACGGCUAACUUCGUG
rnacentral:rRNA from 1 species